GGUACCAGUACAGAGUCAAUGUGGAGGCUAUAUACAGGGGGUACCAGUACAGAGUCAAUGUGGAGGCUAUAUACAGGGGGUACCAGUACAGAGUCAAUGUGGAGGCUAUAUACAGGAGGUACCAGUACAGAGUCAAUGUGGAGGCUAUAUACAGGGGGUACCAGUACAGAGUCCAUGUGGAGGCUAUAUACAGGAGGUACCAGUACAGAGUCAAUGUGGAGACUAUAUACAGGGAGGUACCGGUACAGAGUCAAUGUGGAGGCUAUAUACAGGGAGGUACCGGUACAGAGUCAAUGUGGAGGCUAUAUACAGGGAGGUACCGGUACAGAGUCAAUGUGGAGACUAUAUACAGGGAGGUACCGGUACAGAGUCAAUGUGGAGGCUAUAUACAGGGAGGUACCGGUACAGAGUCAAUGUGGAGACUAUAUACAGGGAGGUACCGGUACAGAGUCAAUGUGGAGG
ensembl:lncRNA